AUGGAUCCAAAUGGUUCUUUGACCAAGGAUAGAGGAUGUUUCACAAGUGACGAGGACUACAUUUCGUAUGUUUCCCCGUUGCAUGAAGCGCUUAGAGGUACAACCGCGAUGCCAACGUUGGAAGAGUUCCAGAAGAUGAACCCAAUGCCAAUUUCAACUCCUUAUAUGAAUAGUGUGUCCAUCAACCCAGAGCCCGAAGAGUCCAUGUUUCCGUUCGAUGAACACUCUAUGAAUGGACUUGCGCGUCUUCCACCAGCACUCCCGUCCAGCUCCGUUCUUGUUGCACCACCGGAUAGCGCAAGUCCGUUCAAGGACAACUUCACUGUUAGUCCUUUCGUGGACAACUUCACGAUCUUUACCAUGGAGACCCAUUCUGCGAUCCAAGGAAGUACGCUUGCCAUCAUGGAUGCCAACCUUAACUCUAGUGGAGUUUUCAAUAUUUCUCCGGUCUUCGAGUAUUCUGAAUUGCUAGUCUCCAAGGAUCAGAAACCAUAUACAAUCCUAGGGCCAUCAUCAUAUGAAGAACUUUGUGGGGUCCUACCACUUGUCAACCAGACACCUUGUACAGUCCCAGAAUCUAACAGUGGGCGAAUGGCGAUGCACCAAACAAUGAUGGGUGGCCUAAGUGUUAUGUUUCAACAAAAUCCUGCACCCUGUACCAUCUCAACAGCGGCUCGACUAAGAUUGGAUGAGUACACAUUAUUCUCCGGACACUUAAAGGCAGGAGGACAACACAAGGCACUCAUGAAUCUUGACCCAGACUGA
rnacentral:rRNA from 1 species